GAAGCACUUCGGUGCUUCUGAAAGUGGCGAACGGGUGAGUAACACGUAGGUAACCUGCCCUGAAGCGGGGGAUAACCGUGGGAAACUGCGGCUAAUACCGCAUGGGCUUGAGGAGACGGGAGUCUGCUUGAGCAAAACUUAGGUGCUUUGGGAGGGGCCUGCGGUCGAUUAGCUAGUUGGUGAGGUAACGGCUCACCAAGGCGAUGAUCGAUAGCUGUUCUGAGAGGAAGACCAGCCACACGGGAACUGAGAGACGGUCCCGACUCCUACGGGGGGCAGCAGUGAGGAAUAUUGCACAAUGGGGGCAACCCUGAUGCAGCAACGCCGCGUGGAGGACGAAGGUCUUCGGAUUGUAAACUCCUUUUCUGUGGGAAGAGCAAGGACGGUACCACAGGAAUAAGACACGGCUAAC
rnacentral:rRNA from 1 species